rnacentral:rRNA from 1 species
UGGGGAAUUUUGGACAAUGGGCGAAAGCCUGAUCCAGCAAUGCCGCGUGUGUGAAGAAGGCCUUCGGGUUGUAAAGCACUUUUGUCCGGAAAGAAAUCCUUGGCUCUAAUACAGUCGGGGGAUGACGGUACCGGAAGAAUAAGCACCGGCUAACUACGUGCCAGCAGCCGCGGUAAUACGUAGGGUGCAAGCGUUAAUCGGAAUUACUGGGCGUAAAGCGUGCGCAGGCGGUUUGCUAAGACCGAUGUGAAAUCCCCGGGCUCAACCUGGGAACUGCAUUGGUGACUGGCAGGCUAGAGUAUGGCAGAGGGGGGUAGAAUUCCACGUGUAGCAGUGAAAUGCGUAGAGAUGUGGAGGAAUACCGAUGGCGAAGGCAGCCCCCUGGGCCAAUACUGGCGCUCAUGCACGAAAGCGUGGGGGAGCAAAACAGGAUUAGAUACCCUGGUAGUCCACGCCCUAAACGAUGUCAACUAGUUGUUGGGGGAUUCAUUUCCUUAGUAACGUAGCUAACGCGUGAAGUUGACCGCCUGGGGAGUACGGUCGCAAGAUUAAAACUCAAUGAAUUGACGGGGUCAUAGCUGUUUCCU